rnacentral:lncRNA from 14 species
UGAGAAGGGAGGAAAAUUGCUACCUGCUGGCAGUGGGCUGCCAGACUGUCAGGUCCUACCCUUUCAAGGAGCAGAUGAAGAAGGGAAGGCAGAUCACAAGGGCAGCGGCAAAUACACAGCUUCUGCACAGGAGAGGAAUGGAAGAUCUGAGGCAACUUACAGGAACCUUUCUGGAGGCAGAGGGGAGCUCUGCUUGCUUUGAUGAGGUGCUUCAUGCCUAAGCCAAUAGGGACUGCUUGUAUGCUGAAGAUAAAGAUGUAUACCAGUUAGGUCUGCUUUGGUGGUUUGGAAAACUACAGUGAAAAGUACUGCCCAUACUGCAAGAGGAAAGAUAAAAUGUUCAACCUAGAGGAAGACUUUGAGCCUUCAUCCUCACAACCACCUUCAACCAUCACCAGAGGAUAGUACAGAUGCUCAAGCAGGAGUGACAGAGUUCCAAGGACCCCUCCUCUUCUCAGAAAUCUUCUGAAUAUGUAUAUUAUGCUAAUAUACAUGUUUUACAUAUAUAUACAUACAUAUACAUAAAUUUGUGACAUGCUGGACAGUGAGCACACAUGGUAGGAGGAGCAAUCCCCCACCGCCCAGCGCUGAAUAAACAAAUACCUACGUAAUAGUUAUAUUUACUU